AGUGAACGCUGGCGGUAGGCCUAACACAUGCAAGUCGAACGGCAGCACAGUAAGAGCUUGCUCUUACGGGUGGCGAGUGGAGGACGGGUGAGGAAUACAUCGGAAUCUACUUUUUAGUGGGGGAUAACGUAGGGAAACUUACGCUAAUACCGCAUACGACCUACGGGUGAAAGCAGGGGAUCUUCGGACCUUGCGCGAUUGAAUGAGCCGAUGUCGGAUUAGCUAGUUGGCGGGGUAAAGGCCCACCAAGGCGACGAUCCGUAGCUGGUCUGAGAGGAUGAUCAGCCACACUGGAACUGAGACACGGCCCAGACUCCUACGGGAGGCAGCAGUGGGGAAUAUUGGACAAUGGGCGCAAGCCUGAUCCAGCCAUACCGCGUGGGUGAAGAAGGCCUUCGGGUUGUAAAGCCCUUUUGUUGGGAAAGAAAAGCAGCAGGUUAAUACCCCGCUGUUCUGACGGUACCCAAAGAAUAAGCACCGGCUAACUUCGUG
rnacentral:rRNA from 1 species